rnacentral:rRNA from 1 species
AUUGAACGCUGGCGGCAUGCCUUACACAUGCAAGUCGAACGGUAACGGGCCUUCGGGUGCCGACGAGUGGCGAGCGGGUGAGUAAUACAUCGGAACGUGCCCGAUCGUGGGGGAUAACGAGGCGAAAGCUUUGCUAAUACCGCAUACGAUCUACGGAUGAAAGCCGGGGACCGCAAGGCCUUGCGCGGACGGAGCGGCCGAUGGCAGAUUAGGUAGUUGGUGGGAUAAAAGCUUACCAAGCCGACGAUCUGUAGCUGGUCUGAGAGGAUGAUCGGCCACACUGGGACUGAGACACGGCCCAGACUCCUACGGGAGGCAGCAGUGGGGAAUUUUGGACAAUGGGCGCAAGCCUGAUCCAGCCAUGCCGCGUGCAGGAUGAAGGCCUUCGGGUUGUAAACUGCUUUUGUACGGAACGAAAAGCCUUCUUUUAAUACGGGAGGGUCAUGACGGUACCGUAAGAAUAAGCACCGGCUAACUACGUG